rnacentral:tRNA from 1 species
GUCAGGAUGGCCGAGUGGUCUAAGGCGCCAGACUCAAGGCUCGAGCCUUCCCGCUGGGAUUUCUGGUCUCCCCUGGAGGCGUGGGUUCGAAUCCCACUCCUGACA